GUGCCAGCCGCUGCGGUAAUACGUAGGUGGCAAGCGUUAUCCGGAUUUAUUGGGCGUAAAGCGAGCGCAGGCGGUUUUUUAAGUCUGAUGUGAAAGCCCUUGGCUCAACCAAGGAAGUGCAUCGGAAACUGGAAAACUUGAGUGCAGAAGAGGACAGUGGAACUCCAUGUGUAGCGGUGAAAUGCGUAGAUAUAUGGAAGAACACCAGUGGCGAAGGCGGCUGUCUGGUCUGUAACUGACGCUGAGCUCGAAAGCAGUGGGUAGCGAACAGGAUUAGAU
rnacentral:rRNA from 1 species